rnacentral:lncRNA from 1 species
CGUGAUCAAGAUUUUAGAUGCGUACGAAUAAUAUAUAGGUUUUGUAGAUAUUUUAGUAUUGGGAGUGAUGGAUGAAAGGACAAGUUCUUGCUUUCAUAUGUUGAAUAUUCUGUUGCAUCAUUUGUAUCAUGAAUGCUGGGAGUGAAUGAUGGAUUGAUAUCAUUAAUAAUACAUGUAUAUAUAUUUUCUUUUUUUCAAAAAAAUUCGUUGCAUUAAAGAAUCAAUAUCGUUGCAAUAAUCAUAGAAUCAACAUUUCUAAUUCAGCAUGAAUUCAGUAUUGCAACAAUUAUUACACAUAUUUGCAUAACGAUUAACUGAUGCUACACGUGGCUAUUACAACGAUACACACCACGUUGUGA